AUAACGGUCCUAAGGUAGCGAAAUUCCUUGUCGGGUAAGUUCCGACCUGCACGAAUGGCAUAAUGAUGGCGGCGCUGUCUCCAGCAGAGGCUCAGUGAAAUCGAAAUCGCUGUGAAGAUGCAGUGUACCCGCGGCUAGACGGAAAGACCCCGUGAACCUUUACUGCAGCUUGACACUGAACUUUGACCUUACUUGUGUAGGAUAGGUGGGAGGCUUUGAAGCUGGAACGCUAGUUCCAGUGGAGCCGUCCUUGAAAUACCACCCUGGUAAUGUUGAGGUUCUAACUCUGUCCCGUGAUCCGGGACGAGGACCGUGUCUGGUGGGUAGUUUGACUGGGGCGGUCUCCUCCUAAAGAGUAACGGAGGAGUACGAAGGUGCGCUCAGCGUGGUCGGAAAUCACGCGUAGAGUAUAAAGGCAAAAGCGCGCUUAACUGCGAGACCCACAAGUCGAGCAGGUACGAAAGUAGGUCUUAGUGAUCCGGUGGUUCUGUAUGGAAGGGCCAUCGCUCAACGGAUAAAAGGUACUCUGGGGAUAACAGGCUGAUACCGCCCAAGAGUUCAUAUCGACGGCGGUGUUUGGCACCUCGAUGUCGGCUCAUCUCAUCCUGGGGCUGAAGCAGGUCCCAAGGGUAUGGCUGUUCGCCAUUUAAAGAGGUACGCGAGCUGGGUUUAGAACGUCGUGAGACAGUUCGGUCCCUAUCUACCGUGGGCGCUGGAAAUUUGAGAGGAUCUGCUCCUAGUACGAGAGGACCAGAGUGGACGAACCUCUGGUGUACCGGUUGUGACGCCAGUCGCAUCGCCGGGUAGCUAUGUUCGGAAGGGAUAACCGCUGAAAGCAUCUAAGCGGGAAGCCUACCUCAAGAUAAGAUUUCCCUAGGACUUUAUGUCCUCUAAAGAGCCGUUCGAGACUAGGACGUUGAUAGGUUGGAUGUGGAAGCAUAGUGAUAUGUGAAGCUGACCAAUACUAAUUGCUCGUGAGGCUUGACUAU
rnacentral:rRNA from 1 species